rnacentral:rRNA from 1 species
ACGAACCGAGCGAACGUUGUUCGGAAUCACUGGGCUUAAAGGGCGCGUAGGCGGUCUUGUCAGUCCCUUGUGAAAUCCCCCGGCUCAACUGGGGAACUGCACGGGAAACAGCAGGGCUUGAGUUCGGGAGAGGGAAGCGGAAUUCCGGGUGUAGCGGUGAAAUGCGUAGAUAUCCGGAGGAACACCGGUGGCGAAGGCGGCUUCCUGGACCGAUACUGACGCUGA